rnacentral:lncRNA from 1 species
CUCCCGCUCCUCCUCCUCCGCUCCCGCCCCGGACCCCCUUUCGCUGCCCCUCUGCCCCACGGCCGCAGCAGCAGCGGCUCUCGGGCAGGGCGAGAAACCCCCCGGAGCCCCCGGCCAUGGGCUCAUGAUUCAAGGUUUGCUUUUUAGGUAGUACACACGUUUGGAAAAUUUUGGGAAGGAAGGGAUUUACUCAAAUCAAAAGGAAAGGGACUGCUACAUAGACUCCUUGAAGCUGCCUGAAGAGAUAGCUGUAGUACAUGUUAAAGGUUAUCAAGGUGGAAUGGUUUUACACAUAGUGGGAAUAAUUUGGCAGAUCAAAAGGUUAGCGAUGUAAAAUGGGAGCAAAAGAGUUAUGUUAAUUCUGACCCUCGAUAAGAAAGUAUUGGAAAUGCCAAAGUUUAGUGAAGUAGACUAAAAGGAAUUACAUAAAAUAGGUGGAAAGCAAGAGCAAUGUGGGAAAUGGAAACUUCCUGAUGGGAGGCAGUUUCUGAAUAGGUCACUUAAGAGGAAAAUAUUUGAAGACAUGCAUCAAAAAACUCAUCGGGCUUUGUGUGAUCAUUGUUAUGAAUGGGGUCCCAUAUGUCCAAUUUCAUAGAAUCAAAUACAAUGAAGUGGUUACAAAGAGUUAUUUGGCAAUGGUUCUGGUAAAGCAUAUGCGAAACCGAUCAGGGUAUGGGGAGGGCUUCUCACCCUGCCACCCGUACAAAAGAAUCCAAGCACAACUUUUAUACUGUAUGGUAAUACAUAUUCAUCAUUAGUUCCUCCUAUUUUCAAUUCUUGAAAUCUGUGUCACUCUACUGCAUGGCAUGUUCCCACUGUUGCUAUGGGGUCUUCUGGUCUCUUCGGGGGUCUUCUUGGAGGAAAGCUCGCUGUCCUCCUCGCUGUCCUCUGAGUGACCUGGCAGGUUGUGCAUGCACAUUUAACUUGUUGCAUUAUGUUCCAAUUAAGCCUUAUUAUUUCAUAGAUAAGACCACUAUUUUCAGGUCCCUAUCUGGAAUGGUCCCAAUUUUAUUCAUAUUCAAGGUCAAUCCAGCUCUGGGAGUUGUCUUUUAGCUUCAGUUGAUGCCAAGUUUGGUUUGGGGGUCAGUUCCUGACUUCCUCCAUUCCUAAGGCUGAAUCCAGCUCCUGCAUCCUGCUGCCCAAAUGUAUUCUUGAAGAAACCCAUCUGCUUUGUAACACUAAUCCCAUAUACUUUUCCGAUUAUUUUCCCAAAUUAUUGAUAUAAUUACAACUUCAGCACAAAUCACAUGCAUUUAUCACACCACUUUUUAAGGAAUUAUGUGUGAAUUGGAAUUUUUGGAUUGGCAAAGCUAAUAACUGAGAAAUCUAUAACUUGCCAAAAAGUAAAUAAAAAGUAAUGAGAAGAACAGCAUUAGGAGGCCACGAGUUAGCUCUGUGACUGUUUCAAAGUAUCAACUGGACUUUACUGACCUUCCCCAAGCGCAGAAUUGUAAGUUUUUAUUGGUAGUAAUAGACCGUUUGACUCAUUGGGUAAAAGCUGUUCCCAGUGUCAGAGCUACAGCUAAUGUGGUAUGUAAAUCUUGGAACAAAUUAUUCCCAGGUAUGGAAUGCUUAAUAGAAUAGGCUCAGAUAGAGAAACCCAUUUCAUGUCAAAAGUCUUACAGCAAAUAACUCCAGCCUUGGGAAUAAAAUGGGAAUUACACACCCCAGGGCAUCCACAGAGUUUGGGCUGGGUAGAAAGGAUGAACCAGGCAUUAAAGAGAAAUUCAACCAAAUUAAUGAUUGAAACCUAAAUGUCAUGGGUGAAAUGUUCACCUUUGGCUCUAUUGAGGGUCCAACACAACCCAGGUCAGGCCUAGGAGUGUCACCCUGUGAGAUGAUGUUUGGGUUACUCUUUCUGACUACCCAACAUGAAGCAGGGGAAAUGAGUGUUUGAAAAUGUGUCACAAGAAUUGCAAAAAUGCUUAAAAAUUUGCGGUUGGAAGGGAUAAUCCCUCAAACCACACCUUUAGAAUUUAAAAUCCAUAAUACGCAUCCACGGGAAUGGGUACUAGUGAAAACAUGGAAAGAACAAUCUUUAACUCCACAGUGGGAAGGUUCCUUUCAGGUACUACUGACAAGUGAGGCAGUGAUCUGGACCAGGGAACAAGGAUGGAUUAAUGCCAGCAGAAUCAAAGGACCUGUGAAGGAACCUGAGGAAUGACUAUAACAUCUAAACUGAGUGAUACCAAAUUGACUCUCCAGUGGGAACCGGGUGGUAAUGAACUGAGAGGACCCAAAUGAUCCAAGGAAUGUACAAAGAAUCACACCUGACUGGGAAAUAAGGCUAAGCUUAUCUCAGUGGUUUCAAGUGACACCUGGACAAGUUCUGAGACACCUCCAUGGGGAGGAAUACUUCCACUUCUAACAGGAGGAUCAUGACUGUUUAGGUCAGAGAGUUCUCAUAUUCUGGCCUUAGCCUGUAACUUAGACAAAGAAGAGAAGGAAUUAGAACUUCCAUCAGUGCCAUACCAUAUACCCUGUUUGAUUCAUCCCAAUACUGGACAUGCUAGCUGGGUUAAAUGUAAAUGUUUAAAUUGUGGGGAAAAUUGGUAUUGUAGUUCACAAAAUUGACACUCUCGUUGCAGGAAAUGUCGAGCACCAAAAUUUAUCCUGUAUCCAGAUUGAACUGAAACAACUGAAAUAAUAACUUUGCUGUGUGGAUGGGAAUUAUUAGUGCCUGUUGAAUUGGAGAUACCUGAGAAACCACAGCUAAGGAGUGUCAAAACCAAUUUGCCUGGAAAUUAGUAAAAGGGAAGUGACAAGGGAAACAGAGAGCAAGCCUGGAUUGAGCACUGUACUCACCACUGGGAAGAUUGCACAUACCUGCUGUGGGUUGCAACCCCAUAGGAAUAUCCCCAUAGGUGGGGAUAUAAACCAUACCAAACUUCUGUUAUUCCUGUUUCUGUCAUUCAUUUGUUGUCUUUUCCCUUUCAGGAUACUGGCAAGAUUGUGUCACAAAUGCUACAGAAAGUAUUACAUGAAAAGAAACCAAAGUUCCUUUUUUGUUACACACACCCAUGUCAACAGCCACUGUAACAACACAUCCAAAUUAAGUACCUGCAGGCAAAAUGGGGAAAAAUAUUGGAUUACAAGGAACUUAGGAAAAAGUGGUAAUAAAUGGGGCAUUGAAUGUCCAAAAAGGUAGAGAUGGAUUUGUUUUACAUUUGACCUUAGGGGUGUACUUCAAGAUUCAGUAAAAGAACAGUUAGUAAAGAAAAAGGUAAAGCACAGCAAUGUAACUUUGUAUUGGCCCCAAAUUAUAUGCUGAAUUGUAUUAUAUGACUCCAAGCAGUUAUAGAGAUGAUAACAAACAAAGCUGCUCAGUCAUUGGAAUUAAUAUCAAGUCAGCAAAACCAAACAAAAACUGUGUUGUAUCAGAAUAGGUUGGCUUUAGAAUAUUUAUUGGCUAAAGAAGGGGGUGUUUGUGGAAAGUUUAAUUUAUCAGAUUGUUGAAAAUAGAUUACAAUGGGGAUUUCAUCCUGGAAAUAGCAAAAGAUAUCAGAAAAAUAACCCAGGUACUGGUCCAAAAUUGGGAACCAAUGUUAAAAACUAACUGGUGGGGUAAUGUAUUUGGGGAUGGUGGAAGAAAUUAGGUUUCUUCCUUUUAUGUGCUACAUCUGGUUUGAUAGUUCUUCCUUGUUUAAUCCUGUUUAAUUUGGCUAAUUACCAGCAUAGUCCAAAACAUACAUGUGGACAAGAAAUAUUGCUCAAGCCAAAUGAUUUAUAAAGAAUAAGAGGGCAGUUUGUUAUAGAUAUGUAUUAUAAUAUUGUAUUUUUGGCAAUAUUAAAAUAGAUUCUAUAUGUGUGGUUUUAAAGUAACUUUGCUAUAAAGGUACAGUUUUUAUUUCUGUUGUUAACUAAAACUUAUAUAAAACUGAUAUAAUAUGCUUGUGUUACAAUGCCUGCUUGGCUGGGAUAACAUCCAAGGAAUAUAUGAUGAAGACACCUGCUACAGAUAUGCAAACAAUCAACACUUGCCAUCAAUAGAAAGUGUGGACCAAGGCCCAAACUUGAAGGUUAUAUUAAAAAUGGACUAAAAGCACAACCAAGGAAUCCACAUUAUCCACAUGCUCUAAAAACACAGACCCGAAGAGGAGCUAUGCUAAACAGUUCUUGGAAUAUGCAAACUUGAUUUGGGAAAAGUUUACUAUACGUAAUUGUUUAUGAAUAUGGAACAGGUUGAUGCAGUAGAAAUGGUAUCUAAAGGAUGUUUCCAAAAUAGCAGGGGUGCUCUUGGCUGAGUGCCAAGAUAAUCUUUGUUUUGUCUUUGUCUCCUGUUGUCCUAUAUUAAACUUUUAA